GGGGAAUAUUGCACAAUGGGCGCAAGCCUGAUGCAGCCAUGCCGCGUGUAUGAAGAAGGCCUUCGGGUUGUAAAGUACUUUCAGCGGGGAGGAAGGCGGUGAGGUUAAUAACCUUGCCGAUUGACGUUACCCGCAGAAGAAGCACCGGCUAACUCCGUGCCAGCAGCCGCGGUAAUACGGAGGGUGCAAGCGUUAAUCGGAAUUACUGGGCGUAAAGCGCACGCAGGCGGUCUGUUAAGUCAGAUGUGAAAUCCCCGGGCUUAACCUGGGAACUGCAUUUGAAACUGGCAGGCUUGAGUCUCGUAGAGGGGGGUAGAAUUCCAGGUGUAGCGGUGAAAUGCGUAGAGAUCUGGAGGAAUACCGGUGGCGAAGGCGGCCCCCUGGACGAAGACUGACGCUCAGGUGCGAAAGCGUGGGGAGCAAAC
rnacentral:rRNA from 1 species